UUUUAUGGAGAGUUUGAUCCUGGCUCAGGAUGAACGCUGGCGGCGUGCCUAAUACAUGCAAGUCGAGCGAACGGACGAGAAGCUUGCUUCUCUGAUGUUAGCGGCGGACGGGUGAGUAACACGUGGAUAACCUACCUAUAAGACUGGGAUAACUUCUGGAAACCGGAGCUAAUACCGGAUAAUAUUUUGAACCGCAUGGUUCAAAAGUGAAAGACGGUCUUGCUGUCACUUAUAGAUGGAUCCGCGCUGCAUUAGCUAGUUGGUAAGGUAACGGCUUACCAAGGCAACGAUGCAUAGCCGACCUGAGAGGGUGAUCGGCCACACUGGAACUGAGACACGGUCCAGACUCCUACGGGAGGCAGCAGUAGGGAAUCUUCCGCAAUGGGCGAAAGCCUGACGGAGCAACGCCGCGUGAGUGAUGAAGGUCUUCGGAUCGUAAAACUCUGUUAUUAGGGAAGAACAUAUGUGUAAGUAACUGUGCACAUCUUGACGGUACCUAAUCAGAAAGCCACGGCUAACUACGUGCCAGCAGCCGCGGUAAUACGUAGGUGGCAAGCGUUAUCCGGAAUUAUUGGGCGUAAAGCGCGCGUAGGCGGUUUUUUAAGUCUGAUGUGAAAGCCCACGGCUCAACCGUGGAGGGUCAUUGGA
rnacentral:rRNA from 1 species